CAAUAGCGUAUAUUAAAGUUGUUGCGGUUAAAAGCUCGUAGUUGGAUUUCUGCUGAGGACGAUCGGUCCGCCCUCUGGGUGAGUAUCUGGCUCGGCCUUGGCAUCUUCUUGGAGAACGUUACUGCACUUGAUUGUGUGGUGCGGUAUCCAGGACUUUUACUUUGAGGAAAUUAGAGUGUUUCAAGCAGGCAUACGCCUUGAAUACAUUAGCAUGGAAUAAUGGAAAAGGACUUCAACCUCUUCUGUUGGUCUGAGAGGCUGUAGUAAUGAUUAAUAGGGAUAGUUGGGGGCAUUAGUACUUGACUGUCAGAGGUGAAAUUCUCCGAUUUGUUAAAGACUAACUUAUGCGAAAGCAUUUGCCAAGGAUGUUUUCAUUAAUCAAGAACGAAAGUUAGGGGAUCAAAGAUGAUCAGAUACCAU
rnacentral:rRNA from 1 species